AAUUGAUUUCUUAUUUGAUUCUUUUCAAAAAUUACUAAAUUUAUAAAUAUCAAAAUAAAAAAUUCCUUUUGAAUUAGGAAAGAAAGAUAUUUUUAAAAAUAAUAAAAUUCCGAAAGCUUUUGAGCAAAAAUGGACAUAAAUAUAUAGAAAUAAUAGAAGUCCAUUUUAGUAGAAACAAUCUUUUCGAAAAAGAAAAUAUCUGAUAAAAUUUUAUAAGUGAAAGGAAAGCCUUUUCCAAAAUAGUUUUCUUCAUUAAUGUUUUUCUAUUAAUAAAAGUUUUUACAAGUUUUCACUAAUAAUUUUUUAAAAUCUUUUCACUAAUAUAUCUUGGAUAUAAUAGAAUAAAAUUUUCUCAUGAGUAUAAAAAUUUUAUUUGGACAUAAUUUAUAAAGCAACCUUCAAAUAGUCUUUGGGGAACUAAAAGAUUGCUUUUUUGAAUGUUUAUCAAAAUCUUUUCUAUUAAAAUUAAUAGAAUCUUCUGCCAGUUGUAAAAAAAGGCCGAAGAAAUUUUUACUUCGCAAAGGUAGCAUAAUAAUUCGACUAUUUAAUGUAGUCUUGGAUGAACGAAGAAACAAAAUAGCUCUUUCCGGUAGACUAUAUUAAAAAUUAAACUUUCCUUGAAAAUCAGGAAAAAUCUUUUUUAGACGAGAAGACCCCAGGAUCUAAAUAAUUCUUAUUUUUAGUUGGGGCAACAAUUUUCAAUUUAAAAAAAGUUAUUUAUUUUACUAUAAUAAUAAAACAAAGAUACCCUGGGGAUAACAGGGUAAUUAAUAAAAAGAGACCAAAUCUAAUUAAUAGAUUACUACCUCGAUGUUGGCUUUCUUACCUUCUAGAAGCAGAAGAUUAGAAGAAAAGUCUGUUCGACUUUUAAUAAGAACAUGAGCUGAGUUCAAGUCGACGAGAGUCAGACUGGAUUUUAUCUAAAAACUUUUUAAGAGAAUCUAGUACGAAAGGACAAAUUCUUCUUCUCAAAGAGAAAAGACAAAUCUUGAAUUAAAAUUUUAUUA
rnacentral:rRNA from 1 species